GUUUGACGUUAGCGACAGAAGAAGCACCGGCUAACUCCGUGCCAGCAGCCGCGGUAAUACGGAGGGUGCGAGCGUUAAUCGGAAUUACUGGGCGUAAAGCGCAUGCAGGUGGUUUGUUAAGUUCAGAUGUGAAAGACCCGGGGCGUUAACCUCGGAAUAGCAUUUGAAACUAGGCAGACUAGAGUACUGUAGAGGGGGGUAGGAAUUUCAGGUGUAGCGGUGAAAUAGCGUAGAGAUCUGAAGGAAUACCGGUGGCGAAGGCGGCCCCCUCGGACAGAUACUGACACUCAGAUGCGAAAGCGUGGGGAGCAAACAGGAUUAGAUACCCUGGUAG
rnacentral:rRNA from 1 species